UGGGGAAUAUUGCACAAUGGGCGCAAGCCUGAUGCAGCCAUGCCGCGUGUAUGAAGAAGGCCUUCGGGUUGUAAAGUACUUUCAGCGGGGAGGAAGGGAGUAAAGUUAAUACCUUUGCUCAUUGACGUUACCGACAGAAGAAGCACCGGCUAACUCCGUGCCAGCAGCCGCGGUAAUACGGAGGGUGCAAGCGUUAAUCGGAAUUACUGGGCGUAAAGCGCACGCAGGCGGUCUGUCAAGUCGGAUGUGAAAUCCCCGGGCUCAACCUGGGAACUGCAUUCGAAACUGGCAGGCUAGAGUCUUGUAGAGGGGGGUAGAAUUCCAGGUGUAGCGGUGAAAUGCGUAGAGAUCUGGAGGAAUACCGGUGGCGAAGGCGGCCCCCUGGACAAAGACUGACGCUCAGGUGCGAAAGCGUGGGGAGCAAACAGG
rnacentral:rRNA from 1 species